GGGAGAGGGGCGGGCGCCAUUGUGCUUCGCUGCCGACUGCAUUUCCUCAGUCACGGGCCUAGAACUCCAAGGAGAAAGGCGGCGGUGCGUGUUGCUGCGAGUGGGACGCGCACUGGUCAGUGCCGGCUCAGGAGCCGGGAAAAAUCUUUAAGAAUGGAGUCUAAACCUUCAAGGAUUCCAAGAAGAAUUUCUGUUCAACCUUCCAGCUCCUUAAGUGCUAGGAUGAUGUCUGGAAGCAGAGGAAGUAGUUUAAAUGAUACCUAUCACUCAAGAGACUCUUCAUUUAGAUUGGAUUCUGAAUAUCAGUCUACGUCAGCAUCAGCAUCUGCGUCACCAUUUCAAUCUGCAUGGUAUAGUGAAUCUGAGAUAACUCAGGGAGCACGCUCCAGAUCGCAGAACCAGCAACGGGAUCAUGAUUCAAAAAGACCUAAACUUUCCUGUACAAACUGUACUACCUCAGCUGGGAGAAAUGUUGGAAAUGGUUUAAACACAUUAUCAGAUGUUCAAGACAGAGUUCCUUCAUAUUCACAAGGAGCAAGACCAAAAGAAAACUCAAUGAGCACUUUACAGUUGAAUACAUCAUCCACAAACCACCAAUUGCCUUCUGAACAUCAGACCAUACUAAGUUCUAGGGACUCCAGAAAUUCUUUAAGAUCAAAUUUUUCUUCAAGAGAAUCAGAAUCUUCCCGAAGCAAUACGCAGCCUGGAUUUUCUUACAGUUCAAGUAGAGAUGAAGCCCCAAUCAUAAGCAAUUCAGAAAGGGUUGUUUCAUCUCAAAGACCAUUUCAAGAAUCUUCUGACAAUGAAGGUAGGCGGACAAC
rnacentral:sRNA from 1 species